rnacentral:rRNA from 1 species
UACGUAGGGUGCAAGCGUUAUCCGGAAUUAUUGGGCGUAAAGAGCUCGUAGGCGGUUCUGUCGCGUCUGCUGUGAAAACUCAUGGGGCUCAACCCCCUGACCUGCAGUGGGGUACGGGCAGACUAGAGUGUGGUAGGGGAGACUGGAAUUCCUGGUGUAGCGGUGGAAUGCGCAGAUAUCAGGAGGAACACCGAUGGCGAAGGCAGGUCUCUGGGC